UAUAUCGUUAAUCUGGCAAUC
ensembl:piRNA 21ur-7127 ncRNA